AUUGAACGCUGGCGGCGUGCUUAACACAUGCAAGUCGAUCGGUAACGCGGGGGCAACCCUGGCGACGAGAGGCGGACGGGUGAGGAACGCUUGGGAAUCUGCCCUUCAGCGGGGGACAACACGGGGAAACUCGCGCUAAUACCGCAUACGCUCCACGGAGGAAAGCCGGGGACCGCAAGGCCUGGCACUGAAGGAUGAGCCCAAGUCGGAUUAGCUAGUUGGCGGGGUAACGGCCCACCAAGGCGACGAUCCGUAGCUGGUCUGAGAGGACGAUCAGCCACACUGGGACUGAGACACGGCCCAGACUCCUACGGGAGGCAGCAGUGGGGAAUAUUGGACAAUGGGGGAAACCCUGAUCCAGCGACGCCGCGUGGGUGAAGAAGGCCUGCGGGUUGUAAAGCCCUUUCGGUAGGGACGAAAGCUCUCGACCUAACGCGUCGGGAGGUUGACUUAACCUACAAAAGAAGCACCGGCUAACUCUGUGCCAGCAGCCGCCGUAAGAC
rnacentral:rRNA from 1 species